rnacentral:lncRNA from 1 species
CAUGCAGAAGCCACCGCUCUUUCUUUUCAACAUAAUUCCCAUAUGAUUUGAUUAAUGGAAUGAAUGUGGCAGAAUUGGCCGGAAGCAGAAUUGCCUGUUUCCAGUGAGGCCCCCUUGCCCUCUUGGAAGCAGUUGCUGUGUAGGAAUUCUGAACACCUCACAGGAGAUGGCGGCCUGGCCAGUUCCUGCCUGCUCCAGCCGCCCAGCUGAAGGGGUUCCAGACACAAGUGGAGCCAUGGUGACCUCCAGCCCCAGCAGACACCUCCACACCGUGCAGGGCAGACCAACCAUGCCACCAAGCGAAUUUGCAACACAGAAAAAGGCUGAUGAAGCAGAGACAUUGAUUAUCAAAGUGGCUUCACUUCCCAGAACCAUUCUGACGCAAGAUAGAAUCCAGCUAUGCUUGAUCAUCACAUGCACAGCACUUUCUGAAAUGCUUUCUACAUCUUUGGCCAUCCUAAUGGGUGUGGAGUGGUGUCUUGGCUCCUUCUUGACAGUGGAUCUCUUUGGAGUGCAUACCUGCCAGCCGGGAUAGCUGUCUACUGGCUGCUCCUUGGUCCUGUGGAGCUUUGCUCCUGCACUCUGCCAAGCUCUGAGUCUGGCCUCUGUCUGGGCUGCUGAUAAACACCUGUCUUCAUGCUAAGGCCUCACUGAUUAGUUGAGCCAACCGACUCCUCCAGGGCCUGCCCAACACUGAUGGGUUCCUGACCCAGGCCUGGAACAUCUUGCUGCCUUCUUGUACUCACAGCUUAGGAAGCAAAAAGCAAGCCAGGUGUUCGUACUUCUCUGCUGGGGACAUAACAAAUG